AGCUACAUAUUAAAGAGAUUUAUUUAUAUAAAUAGGCUUGCUAGCUGAUUGUAUAUAUAUGCUGGCCGUAUUUCAUAGCAAGCUCGCUUUUAAUAGGCAACCAGUAAUAUGAGCAAUUCUUUACCUACAAGCCUAUAAUUAUAUUAACUCUAAGAGAAAUCUAAUAAUAAACGGAGUGAAUUGAAAUAUCUUAUUAACUUCAGGAAAAGAAAUCAAAAGAGAUUCUAUGAUUAGCGUGAGCUAAAAUAGAGUAGCCUAGAAAGUCAAAUGGUGGAUAAACUGUUUAAAUUUAAUGGGGAACCUUCCUCAAAGGCUAAAUAUAAUAUGUAAGCGAUAGUGGAAAGUACCGUGAGGGAACCAAAACAAAAACAGUGAUUUUAUAAGCAGUUCGGAAAAAUAAAAAAGUUAGAACGUACCUUUUGCAUAAUGGGUCACCAAGUUAACAUUAGAUGCGAGAUUCUACGUAGUUAAACCGAGCGUUAAAAUAACGGUAAGUGUCUAAAGUUAGACCCGAAGCCUGGUGAUUUUACCAUAAUCAGGAUUAUAAAAGUCCGAACGGAAUAUUGUAGCAUAAAUAUCCGAAGAAUUAUGGUAGGUGUAGUGAAAGACAAUACUGACCAGGAUAGCUGGUUUUCUGCGAAACCUAUAACAGUAGGCAAUUUAAGUAUAAUAUCUUAGCAGGUACAGAAUUUAAUCUCAGACAAGACAUAAGGCUUAACUUGUUAACAAGUUAAGCCCAUGUUUUAUUUUGUACAAAUUGGGGGAUCAUGAAGAUUUUAUCAGUGAGUAUGUAGACUCGGAAUGGCAAAGAUAUAUCUUAAAUCAUCAGACAUAGAAUGAUAAGGUUGUAUGUCAAAAGGGAAACAGCCCAGAACAAGAGUUAAGGUUCCUAAAUUAUUAGUUGAGUGAAAUUAAGAAGGUUUUUAUUAAAGUCGACAAGGAGAUAGGCUUAGAAGCAGCCAUAAUUUUAUGACCUCGUAACAGAGCGCUUGUUAAGUUUUAAAAGCAUCGAAAAUUUAUCGGAUCUAAACAAUAUACCGAAACCUUGUCCAUAUUAUUUUAUAAUUAAUAGUCUCAGCAAGCUCGGACUAUACAAUUAUAAUUAAAUGGGGUAGCAGAACGUUGAGCUAAAUUAAGAUUUUUAUUUUUUAAAUGAAAUUAUAAUAAUUUAACUCAAGUGAUAAUGGUGACAUGAGUAACUAAAAGAAAAUUUUCCGCCUAAAGCUUAUGGAUGUAAUUAAGUAACGGCCUCUAAGUUUAUGGAAUCAAAAGAUUAAAACGAUGAGACAAUCUUUCAUACUAAGGACGACAUUUUAAGUGCAAAAUGUACUGGAAAAAUAGUAAUAAGUUUAAGCUAUGGCUAGAACUAGCUAUAGCUUAAAUGGAAAGUAACCGUACCUAGAAUCUGAAACAAGUAAGCUAGUAGAGAAUACGAAGGCGUAAAUGAGCUAACAAUCAUAAAGGAACUCGGCAAAUUGACUACCGUAACUUCGGGAUAAGGAGAGCUCAUUAUUCUUGAUUAAUAUCAGGUAAAGAGGAAGAAGCAUGAAAUAGUGUUGUACGACUGUUUAAUUAAAACACAGCACUUUGCUGAAAGAUUAAAAAUCUAAGUAUAGAGUGUGAUGUCUGCCCGGUGCCGGCUGGUUAACAGAUAUAAUUAAAUAUACUAAUAUUUGAUGUAGACGGAAACCCCGGUUAAAGGCGGCCUUAACGUGAGGGUCCUAAGGUAGCGAAAUGCCUUGGCCGUUAAAUGCGGUCUUGCAUGAAUGAUGUAACGAUACAACAGCUGUCUCUAUGAUUGACUCAGUGAAAUUGGAAUAGCUGUGCAGAUACAGUUUACCUCUAGUUAGACGAGAAGACCCUAUGCAGCUUUACUGUCACUAAUUAUAGAGUAUGAUAAACAAUUUUCAGUUUAUAAGGUAAUUGACGGCCGGCUUGCUUAGCAAGCUGGCUCUAUGACAAUGAGAAUCCUUUAUUUUUUUUUCAUAUGAAUGAAUUGGUUUAGGACGAGCUUAAGCUCGUAGUAAAUCAACCUAAUUCAGCUUAUUUUCCUUUCUGCUGUAAGCGCAUAAUGAUAGAUUAUACUUAAAUUUGGAUUUAUGCCUGCAGAAAUAGAUAAGUACCCUUGGUUAAGGAACUAUCGCUAGGGGACAGUUUAUGUGGGGCACAGACCCUGUAAAGAGUAAACAGGAGUGUCUAAUAAUUUAUAAUUAUUUUGUUUGCGAUUUAAGGUAGUAGAACUAUUUUUAAUCAUAUAAAAUUAUUUAUAUGUACAUUCGUUGUAUAUAUAUUUAAAAAAAGGUAGGAUUUUCACUAUAUAGAAAUUAGAGAUAAUAAAAAUAUUAAGUAGUAGCUGCUGAGUCCUAAUCCCGCCGAAGGGGGGGAUAUGGACUACUAUGUAUUUCAUAGCAAGCUCGCACUAAUAUUUUUUAACUAUUAAGACUGGCUAUCUAGCUAUGCUCUAAUAGUUAUGUUUUAAUUAUCUAAAAAGCUCAACGGCUAAAUCUUGCCUUACUGUUUGAUUAUCAACAAAUCUUACAGUUGCGUAAGCAGGGCAUAGGAUCACAAGAUGCAACAAGGAAAGAUCUUGGAUUAUUGGAAAAGCUACGCUAGGGAUGACAGGCUAAUUUGCGCAAGAGUGUACAAAAUGAGUGCGCGGUUUGGCACCUCGAUGUCGGCUUAACUUAUCCUCAUGGAUGCAGGAACUAUGUAGGGUGCGACUGUUCGUCGAUUAAAAAGUUACAUGAGCUGGGUUAAAUACGUCGUGAGACAGUAUGGUUUCUAUCUUCUAGGGGGAAUUAGAAUAUAAUAAGAACUAACUUUUGUACGAAAGGAACAAGAAGAAUUUAAUUUGUAAAAGGGUUAAAUAAUAGUUACUAACCUAUGGUUUACCUGUUGUCUAUGUGCCCAAAUAUUAAAAUAUAGGAUAAAAAUUCUAUAUAUCUGUAUAGCUUUAGCUAUACAUAGGGAUGUUUCUUUCACUAAGAUAAAUAUAUAGCAUAGGCACGGCAGGAAAGCUAAGUUGGUUAAGGAUAAGUGCUGAAAGCAUAUAGGCACGAAGCUUAUCUUAAGAUAUUUCUUAAAUAUACGUAAAAUAUUAUUACGAAGGAUUAAUAUAGGCUUUAUCCGUACGAAUCUGGAGAUUUUUAAGAAUAAAGUACUAAUUUUAUAAAUAACUAUUUAU
rnacentral:rRNA from 1 species